UACGGAGGGUGCAAGCGUUGUUCGGAAUUACUGGGCGUAAAGAGUGCGUAGGCGGUUCGGCAAGUUGGAAGUGAAAUCCCGGGGCUCAACCUCGGAAUUGCCUUCAAAACUGCCGAUCUAGAGUAUGGUAGGGGAUAGUGGAAUUCCUAGUGUAGGGGUGAAAUCCGUAGAUAUUAGGAGGAACACCAGAGGCGAAGGCGACUAUCUGGGCCAUUACUGACGCUAAGGUACGAAAGCGUGGGGAGCAAACAGG
rnacentral:rRNA from 1 species